AGUAGUUUGAUCAGUGGCUCGAGGACGAACGCUGGCGGCGUGCCUAACACAUGCAAGUCGAACGAGAAUCUCCUGUGUGAUCCCUUCGGGGUGAACAUUGGAGAGGAAAGUGGCGGACGGGCGAGUAACGCGUGAGUAACCUGCCGAUAAGAGGGGGAUAAUCCUUGGAAACGAGGACUAAUACCGCAUAUUGUAACGAUAUCGCAUGAUAUUGUUAUGAAAGCUUUAGCGCUUAUUGAUGGACUCGCGUCAGAUUAGCUAGUUGGUGAGGUAACGGCUCACCAAGGCGACGAUCUGUAGCCGAACUGAGAGGUUGAUCGGCCGCAUUGGGACUGAGACACGGCCCAGACUCC
rnacentral:rRNA from 1 species